rnacentral:rRNA from 1 species
GGGGAAUUUUGGACAAUGGGCGAAAGCCUGAUCCAGCCAUGCCGCGUGAGUGAAGAAGGCCUUCGGGUUGUAAAGCUCUUUUGUCCGGGAGGAAAUCCUGGCCUCUAAUACAGGUCGGGGAUGACAGUACUGGAAGAAUAAGCACCGGCUAACUACGUGCCAGCAGCCGCGGUAAUACGUAGGGUGCAAGCGUUAAUCGGAAUUACUGGGCGUAAAGCGUGCGCAGGCGGUUUUGUAAGCCAGAUGUGAAAUCCCCGAGCUUAACUUGGGAACUGCGUUUGGAACUACAAGACUAGAGUGUGUCAGAGGGGGGUAGAAUUCCACGUGUAGCAGUGAAAUGCGUAGAGAUGUGGAGGAAUACCGAUGGCGAAGGCAGCCCCCUGGGAUAACACUGACGCUCAUGCACGAAAGCGUGGGGAGCAAAC